UGGGGAAUAUUGCACAAUGGGCGCAAGCCUGAUGCAGCCAUGCCGCGUGUGAGAAGAAGGCCUUCGGGUUGUAAAGCACUUUCAGCGGGGAGGAAGGCGUUAAGGUUAAUAACCUUGGCGAUUGACGUUACCCGCAGAAGAAGCACCGGCUAACUCCGUGCCAGCAGCCGCGGUAAUACGGAGGGUGCAAGCGUUAAUCGGAAUUACUGGGCGUAAAGCGCACGCAGGCGGUCUGUCAAGUCGGAUGUGAAAUCCCCGGGCUCAACCUGGGAACUGCAUUCGUAACUGGCAGGCUAGAGUCUUGUAGAGGGGGGUAGAAUUCCAGGUGUAGCGGUGAAAUGCGUAGAGAUCUGGAGGAAUACCGGUGGCGAAGGCGGCCCCCUGGACAAAGACUGACGCUCAGGUGCGAAAGCGUGGGGAGCAAACAGG
rnacentral:rRNA from 1 species